CUAUGGUUAUAAUAUUUACCAUGGCGGAAGGAG
rnacentral:ncRNA from 1 species